rnacentral:rRNA from 1 species
UACGAAGGGGGCUAGCGUUGCGCGGAAUCACUGGGCGUACAGGGUGCGUAGGCGGGUCUUUAAGUCAGGGGUGAAAUCCUGGAGCUCAACUCCAGAACUGCCUUCGAUACUGAAGAUCUUGAGUUCGGGGGAGGUGAGUGGAACUGCGAGUGUAGAGGUGAAAUUCGUAGAUAUUGGGAAGAACACCAGUGGCGAAGGCGGCUCACUGGCUCGUAACUGACGCUCAGGCGCGACAGCGUGGGGAUCAAACAGG